rnacentral:rRNA from 1 species
GACGAACGCUGGCGGCGUGCUUAACACAUGCAAGUCGAGCGAGGCCCCUCCUUCGGGAGGGUGUCCUAGCGGCGAACGGGUGAGUAACACGUGGGCAACCUGCCCUCAGCUCUGGGAUAACUCCGGGAAACCGGGGCUAAUACCGGAUACGACCUCCACGGGCAUCUGCGGAGGUGGAAAGUUUUUCGGCUGAGGAUGGGCCCGCGGCCUAUCAGCUAGUUGGUGGGGUAGUGGCCCACCAAGGCGACGACGGGUAGCCGGCCUGAGAGGGCGACCGGCCACACUGGGACCGAGACACGGCCCAGACUCCUACGGGAGGCAGCAGUGGGGAAUAUUGCGCAAUGGGCGAAAGCCUGACGCAGCGACGCCGCGUGAGGGACGAAGGCCUUCGGGUUGUAAACCUCUUUCAGCAGGGACGAAGCGAAAGUGACGGUACCUGCAGAAGAAGCACCGGCCAACUACGUG